GUUGUUUGUGGUAUAAUGGUUAUCACAUCUGCCUAACACGCAGAAGGUCCUGAGUUAGAGUCUCAGCAGAAACA